AAGUCGUAACAAGGUCUCCGUUGGUGAACCAGCGGAGGGAUGCAUUGCUUGGAAGCGCGCCCCAGGCCGCAGCCCAGAAACCCCUUUGUAGCAACUUUAUACCUUACUGCUUUGCCUCGGCGUCCUAGGCUGGUGCCUUCCGGGCCCUUCAGCCCCUCACGGGUGUUGAGACAGCCCGCCGGCGGCCAACCCAACUCUUGUUUUUACACUGAAACUCUGAGAAUAAAACAUAAAUGAAUCAAAA
rnacentral:misc_RNA from 1 species